AAUUCUAGUCUUAUCGGUGGAUCACUCGGCUCGUAGGUCGAUGAAGAACGCAGCUAACUGCGAUAAUUAGUGUGAACUGCAGAAACCUUGAACACAAAACUUUCGAAUGCACAUUGCGCCAUUGGAAUCACAUCCUUUGGUACGCCUGGUUCAGGGUCGUAA
rnacentral:rRNA from 1 species